rnacentral:rRNA from 1 species
GCAUCGAUGAAGAACGCAGCGAAAUGCGAUAAGUAAUGUGAAUUGCAGAAUUCCGUGAAUCAUCAAAUUUUUGAACGCAAAUUGCACUCCUUGGUAUUCCGAGGAGUACACCUGCUUGAGGGUCAGUU